CUGACAGGCCACCCGUGGGUUGGUCUCAGCUUUAAAGCAGCUGUUCUCCUCUGGCCCGGCAGCCGCGGCGACUGUGUUUGCACCCGGCGGACCAUGCCAGGACUACGGACCCGGACAGGACUGAUGGCCUCAGAGAGGUCAAGGGCUCGGGACUGGAGAAGCAGCCAACUGGAGCUGAUAUUCGGGAAGCUAAGCCUGAGGCUGCUCUGGAGGGCCGGAGAAGCGAGCGGCCAGGCUUGGCACCCGCCAAAUGUGCCUUGCCAAAAUGAAGAGGAAGGAAGGCGACUCCGGAGCCCAGCAGAGCUGCGCUUUUGGCCUGAAUUUUCAGUGACAAAUAGAAAAGCUGAAUGGAUGGAGACAAUGACUCUUUAAUUCAAUGUAAGAGCUGACUCAUCGCUUCCCAGGAAGACUUGUUGCAGGAGGGGAUACUGGGAAUGGAUAGAUGCCUGAUCAUCACGGUGCUAUCAAGAGCCAUAUUCUUUAUUGGCCCCAUCUGUGCCAGAGUUCAGCGGUACCAUGAGCCCUAGUGCUAGACUAUUAGCCCUUCAAUAUUAGGAGCUAUGUCUUGUACCCCUUUGAUUCCCUCAAACUCAGUUGUGCUUAAAGUAGGGCUGAACAAAUGUUUGAACUAAAUCCUACUGGCUAGUAUUAAGACAAAUAGCUUAUCUUCUUCUUUAUGAGAAUGGUAGCUCUAGACCUGGACCCUCCCCCUCCAAAUCAAAAGCUUCAUAUUCCCUAGCCCUCUUCACAAAAGAUAAAUUAAGGCUCAGUUAAUUGUUACCAUGGUAACAUGGAGUGGCCACAUUGAGGAUCCCCAUCAUCCAUUACUGUCAUGAGGUAAAAGAGAGGAGGGGUUUGGGAUCAUUGUCAUGGAGGAAACCAUGGAAACAAGCGUUGCUAAGGGAACAGCUCUAAAUUCAGAGGAAAGAAAUUAGAAGUGGGGAGUGGAAGUUGGUGGGCUCAAGGGCAGGUCAUUUUUUCAAAAUAUAUUUCUUUGAGACUACAGCAGCCUCUUUUAUUGCUUGCAUCUUCUCCCAAUUCAGAUAGAGCCCAGAAUUAAAGAAUUUUGAAAACUAGGGCCACAAUCAGUUCAAAUUCAUCUUCAUUGGAUCUGUAAGGAAAAAGCCAAUGAAAAUGGAUUUACCCUGUUCACACCUCACAAUCCUACUCUGUCUCUGAACUCUGCUUCUUUGCCAACCAGUUUCAUUUAUCACGGGCCAGGCUGUGCGCGAGGCACUUGGAAGAAUAAUGAGUGAGAGUCCCUGCUCUCAUAGUGAGCUUCUAGCAGGGCAGUGGUUUGGGUGGUGGCUUUAGGGCCAGGGUUGCUCAUGUAAGCUAGAUCAGUCAGUCCUGCAAGCUGACAUCCAGAGAGAUGCUGUGGUUCUCUCCAAACUCUCUUUGUGGUGCAUUUUAGCUUGUCUAUUACUUCUCAAAGUUUAUUUGCCAGGUCCCUAAGAAAGGCCUGUUUUUCCUAGAAAUACCUAGGGUGCUAAGCUCUCCUAUUAACCAAGGGGUUACCUUAGUUAGCAUUGUUCUCUAAUGGUACCCUCAGGUCCUUGUCUCUAAAACAAUUCAAGGUUGAAGGACUAACCCUCCUCUCAACAGUGGCAAAGAGGCACGGGGCUAUUUUUUUUUUUUUUUUGUAAAAGAAAUUAAAGACCACACAUCCAUCUCUGUUUCUUGAUAGAUUAAAGGAUGGGGAAAGGAGGUCUCAGUUUUCUACAGCUGGGAAUUUCAGAGCCAGCACCUCACUGCGGGGUAGACUGAAGAGGGUCAUAAAGAGCCUCUGGGGGAGGAACACCUCUCCCUUACAUCUUCCACAAAAGAACUUCUUGGUUUUUCUCAGACCCAUGGCAGAGAUGUGCCCUGUCUCAGGCUGACAGCUGGAAGGGGCUGGGACUCAGAGCUAGGUAUUGCCAGUCUUCUCCAUGACUCCCCCCACUCCUCCUGCUCCUGAGCGUCUCCAUCACCAGGCAAGCCCCCACCCCCAUUCUGGAUAGAGAGAAUAAACCCAAGGAUGGAAGGGUGGGCUAAAGAGGAAGUGCUCACAAUUAAAAAGAGAAAGAAUUAAAAGCAGCACCAAUAGGGAAGGGUAAUUAUCCUUCAGUUGCUGCAGAAAUACAAUUAGGGCCAUGCUCUCUGAGCCGCCAGGAUAUUGUGGCUUUUGCUAAUUAAGGAGCGGAUGUGUCCUGCCAGCGCAAUUAGAGGCUGGCCCAGGCAGCAGGGGCUUUGCCUCUCCUCCACCAGUGCCACACUGCAAGGGAAAUUAACCAGGGAGCCCAGCGCUGUGCCUGCAGGGAGGGGAUGACUGGGCCAGGAUUCCACCAGCCUCCUGUCCACAACCAUUUCCCCUUUUCCUCUUCCUGCUCUGCUUACCCCAGCACCACCACUCUGACUUCAUUCUGAAGCUUCCAGGGCUCAGUAACCACAGGAAGAAUUUUCACCAUGGGCCAUGCCCAUAGGCUUCCAGAAGGGGGAGGCACCAGUAGAGAGGGGUCACCAUUUCCAAGCUCUAGUUUCUCUUCUGCAUGGUGGUUCAAUGCUUUAUGAUUAGUAAAGGAAAGAGAGAAAUGAGCCACUUGCCUGCUUCUCUUUAAAAAUAAUUCCCCUGUUUGUAAAGGAAAUAUGCUCAAAUUGGGUGCAGUGGCUCACGUCUAUAAUCCCAGCACUUUGAGAGGCUGAGGCAGGAGGAUCACUUGAGCCCAGGAGUUCAAGACCAGCCUGGGCAAUAUACUGAGACCUUGUCUUUACUAAAAAAAAAAAAAAAAAAAAAAAAAUUAGCUGUAGUCUCAGCUACUAGGGAGGCUGAGGUGGAAGAAUCACUUGAACACUCGAGUCUGGAAGGUUGAAGCUGGAGUGAGCUGUGAUUGCACCACUGCACUACAGCCUGGGUGACAGAGCAAGACCCUGUCUCACCAAAACAAAACAAAACAACUGUGUCCAUUAUAGAAAGUAGAACACUCCAGAAAAAAGGGAAAAGUAAGAAAAAAUAAUUUCUCCAGGGAAUUCUGAGGUGAGGAGAGGUGUUCAAAGAUGAACUUAGUAAUAGGAGCGGAGACAACGCCUCGCCUGAAGGAGCAUCCAGACCGCUGACCUGGUGGCGAGGGGAGGGGGGUGGUCCUCGAACGCCUUGCAGAACUGGCCUGGAUACAGAGUGGACCGGCUGGCCC
rnacentral:lncRNA from 10 species